AACGAACGCUGGCGGCAGGCUUAACACAUGCAAGUCGAACGAGCUGGGGGCUUCGGCCCCCGAUGCUAGUGGCGCACGGGUGAGUAACACGUGGGAAUAUGCCCUUUAGUACGGAAUAACCAAGGGAAACUUUGGCUAAUACCGUAUACGCCUUCGGGGAAGGAUUUAUCGCUAAAGGAUUAGCCCGCGUCUGAUUAGGUAGUUGGUGAGGUAAUGGCUCACCAAGCCGACGAUCAGUAGCUGGUCUGAGAGGAUGAUCAGCCACACUGGGACCGAGACACGGCCCAGACUCCUACGGGAGGCAGCAGUGGGGAAUAUUGGACAAUGGGGGCAACCCUGAUCCAGCCAUGCCGCGUGAGUGAAGAAGGCCUCGGUUGUAAGCUCUUUCGACGGGGACGGAUGAUGACGGUACCC
rnacentral:rRNA from 1 species